CCAAGGGUUUUAGUAGCCCUAGGAGUGAGUGCUAUGAUUAGAAGGAAGAUGCCAUGCUUAAGCUGACACAUUGACAAACAAUGCAGGGGGAUAAAAUUAAAGUGCUUGCAGCACCUUGGUGGACUCCUGAUCAUUUGGUCUGAUGAAAGCAUGUCCACUUUAUUGUCCUCUCUCUUUCUCUUUUCCACAGGGGCUCAAACUCAACUGGAUAGUUUUGAUUGGUGCUGCAAGAGUACUUGAUGCAUGGUCAUCUGAUAGAACCCCAUCUUUUUCCUGUUCACUGAAUCAGCAUGUAUUUCACACCUAGUAAAAUACUACUUUUGCUGGUGA